UACGUAGGGGGCAAGCGUUGUCCGGAAUCAUUGGGCGUAAAGCGCGUGUAGGCGGCUGGGUAAGUCCGCUCUGAAAGCCCGGGGCUCAACCCCGGGAGGCGGGUGGAUACUGCUCAGCUCGAGUCCGGAAGAGGAGUGUGGAAUUCCUGGUGUAGCGGUGAAAUGCGCAGAUAUCGGGAGGAACACCAAUGGCGAAGGCAGCUCGCUGGGACGUUACUGACGCUGAGACGCGAAAGCGUGGGGAGCAAACAGG
rnacentral:rRNA from 1 species